AACGAACGCUGGCGGCAUGCCUAACACAUGCAAGUCGAACGAAGGCUUCGGCCUUAGUGGCGCACGGGUGCGUAACGCGUGGGAAUCUGCCCUUAGGUUCGGAAUAACAGUUAGAAAUGACUGCUAAUACCGGAUGAGGACGUAAGUCCAAAGAUUUAUCGCCUGAGGAUGAGCCCGCGUAGGAUUAGCUAGUUGGGGUGGUAAAGGCGCACCAAGGCGACGAUCCUUAGCUGGUCUGAGAGGAUGAUCAGCCACACUGGGACUGAGACACGGCCCAGACUCCUACGGGAGGCAGCAGUGGGGAAUAUUGGACAAUGGGCGCAAGCCUGAUCCAGCAAUGCCGCGUGAGUGAUGAAGGCCUUAGGGUUGUAAAGCUCUUUUACCCGUGAUGAUAAUGACAGUAGCGGGAGAAUAAGCCCCGGCUAACUCCGUG
rnacentral:rRNA from 1 species